rnacentral:rRNA from 1 species
UACGAAGGGGGCUAGCGUUGCUCGGAAUCACUGGGCGUAAAGCGCACGUAGGCGGGUCUUUAAGUCAGGGGUGAAAUCCUGGAGCUCAACUCCAGAACUGCCUUUGAUACUGGGGAUCUCGAGUCCGGAAGAGGUGAGUGGAACUCCGAGUGUAGAGGUGAAAUUCGUAGAUAUUCGGAAGAACACCAGUGGCGAAGGCGGCUCACUGGUCCGGUACUGACGCUGAGGUGCGAAAGCGUGGGGAG